AUGUUUAGAUGACAUGACCCUUUAAAACCCCAAAUAGAAACUGUAUUAAAUAUAUGCAUGCAUUAAUAUUAUAGUAGAACAUUGGAGAAAAAAGCUUUAAGAAAUAAGCAGCUUUAUUAAGCAUUUUUCUGCCCAAGACACAAAAAAAGCAUUCACAAAAUUCACAUUUACAUGUAUUAAUUGGCCAGACACUUUAAUCUGAAGUGACUUACAGUGCUCUUAUUACAGGAUCUCAAUCCCUCUGGAGUCACCUGGAGUAAAGACACACCGGUGGAGAUUGAACCAGAAACUGCUCACCAGUUCAGUUCACUAAAUCACAGAAAUAAUGAAGCUUUAUCAAAUUAACAUGCAAUUGUCGUGGUGCUCAUGGAGAGCAGACACAGCAGCAGUCAGAUCGUCCCGCACAUGUUCUCCUGCUCUUGUUCAGGGUUGUGUGGUUCAGGGUCUUCAUCAUGGUCUUCCUCAUCCUCUCUGUGCACUCAGACAAGGACAGCCUCGAUGUCUCUCUGUCAUCAUGAUCAGAUUCAGUCUGACUGCAGCAGUGAGAACCCUGAUGGACAGAUGUGGGUUCACCGUCUGUAAACAUUCAAAUAAAGAACAAUUUCUGAAUAAAGCUUUGAAGGGUUUUGAAGGGUUGAAGGGUUUAAUCUUCAAGGAUUAAACUGUGGGUCAUUUCAAUAGAGUUAAAACGUAAAAACAACACAAAUAUAUUGAUUAAACUACAAUAACAAUAAAAGGGCAUUUGUGUAUUCAACAAGACCGACCACAAAAGGAGCAAAUUGGAUCAACAUCAAAAUAUUUAGGUAGUAAAUAUUAAACCUGUAGCAGUCAGUCAUAUAUUUGAAGUUGUUAUAACGUCAUAGGUCACAUGAUAACGUAAACAUGGCGGAAUUCAUUCAUACUCAACGAGAUUUGGCUGUAGAGUACUACUCUUUUAGCGCUCGUUAAGUAAGUACUUAAAUUUAGUACCUACUCGUUAAGUUUGCGAUUUCGGACGCAGCCACAGUGUUUCGGGAGACGGAUUAGCAACAACUGUACCGUAGGUGCAACUAUCAUGGGUGAAAGUACAGAUGGAGACAGUGAGGGUAUGCCUUGGCAGGAUGUGUCAAGGAAAAGGAAAGAUAGGAGUAAUAGCUCUGGAAUUUCAAAUAUAGGGCUGGAGGUGAGUGACGUCAGCAAAAAAACAAAGGCUGCAAAGUCGAGCGUGAGAAGGGAGGAUGAAGAAAUGGAAUGGAAAGUAAUGGUAACAUUCAAAAGAGAAGGGGUUCAUUUUCAUCCGUUAAAAUUGACAAAAGCUAUUGAAAAAGAAAUGGGAAAAAUAAAGUUUGCCAAGUAUUUAAGUAACAGG
rnacentral:lncRNA from 1 species